GUGAAUCAUCGAAUCUUUGAACGCACCUUGCGCUCCUUGGUAUUCCGAGGAGCAUGCCUGUUUGAGUGUCUUGAAUCCAUCAGCCCCCUCCCGUUUUUGCGGGACGAAGGGGGAUUGGAGUUUGGGGGCCUGCUGCCGUGAGGCGGCUCCCCUCAAAUGCAUCGGUUGGACCUGCGGGUCGAACUCGACUGGGCGUUGUACCAUCCUCGCUCGACCGAGAAGUUCCCCUCUUGGCGUCCUCCCGCGACCUUGCCUGUGGAGCGGCGGUCAAAUGUACUUUGAAAUCUGACCUCAAAUCAGGUAGGACUACCCGCUGAACUUAA
rnacentral:rRNA from 1 species